rnacentral:tmRNA from 1 species
UUCGGUAGCAGCCUGUCGGUUGGCGUCUACCGGAUAAAAUUAAAUAACUUGACUAAGUAUGUAGAACUGCCUGUAGAGUGCUUGCGGACGCGGGUUCAAUUCCCGCCGCCUCCACCA